GGGGGGAGCGCUGGAUCUUGGGCUGUGUCCCCUGGCGCCCUGGGCUCCGGGUCCUGCGCUGCUGGAAUUGCGCUCCCGGGCCACGCAGCCCCCU
rnacentral:pre_miRNA from 1 species